GGGGGGCGUGAAGUAGGCCUUCGCAAAGGAAGAGACGAAGGGAAAUCAGGCAGAGGACUAUAGGACAGCAGAGACGUCCCACGUGCCUGGAGCCUGGGAGGCAGGGGAACAGCCAAAGUUGGAGAGGUCCACGCAGCCCACACAGCCCACACAGAUCACGCAAUCGACAAUGACUUGUGCUGAGCCUGAUGUAUCCACUGCUGCCAAAAUAACGUACCCAGGGAGAGAGAAGAGGUCUCCUAGAGGACUAACUAAAGCUCUGGAGACCCGACAUCCAGGAUCAAGAUGUCAGCAGGGUUGAUUUCCUCUGAAGACUCCAAGGGAGAAUCCAUUCCAUGCCUCUUCCUGGCUUCUGGUGGAUGCCAGCAGCCCUUGGCAUCACUUGCCUUGUUCACACAUCACUCCAAUCCCUGCCACUGUCUUCACAUGGCCCCCCUCUCCAUAUGUCUGUCUUCUCCUUUUCUGUCUCUUAUAAAGACACUUGUCAUUGGAUUUAGGACCCACCCUAAAACCAGGAUCGUCUCAUCCCAAGAUCUUUAAUUACAUCUGCAAAGACUAUUUCCAAAUAAGGUCAUAUUCACAGAUACUGGUUAGGGCUUGGACAUAUCUUUUUUGGGGGGGCACAAUUCAACCCCUAUACAUAAAUUGAUGUAUGCAUCCCACUAGUGAUGGAAUUUCAGUGCUUUCCAAUUUUUCCAUUACACAGAACACUGUAUUAAGCAUCUUUAUUGUAUCUCAUUGAGCACAUGGACAAGAAUUUCUCUAGAAGUGGAAUUUUUGGGGUUGAAGAGUAGAUACAUUUUUAACACCACUAAAUAUUGCUAAAUAUUUUUGCCAAUUUGAUGGAUGUGAAAUGGUAGCUCAUUGUUAUUUUAACUUGAAUUUCAUGAUUAGACUAGUAAGACAAAAUGUUUUUUUCCUUUUUUUGUUUUCUUUUUUUGAGAUGGAGUCUCACUCCGUCGCCCAGGCUGCAGUGCAGUGGUGCAAUCUUGGCUCACUGCAACCUCUGCCUCCUGGGUUCAAGCGAUUCUCUUGUCUCAGCCUCCUGAGUAGCUGGGACUAUAGACACCCACCACCAUGCCCUGCUAAUUUUUGUAUUUUUAGUAGAGAUGGGGUUUCACCACAUUGGCCAGGCUGAUCUUGAACUCCUGACCUCGUGAUCUGCCCGCCUCGGCCUCCCAAAGUGCUGGGAUUACAGGUGUGAGCCACUGCGCCCAGCCGAAUUAUCUUUUUCAAGUGUCUAUUAGACAUUUGGGUUUCCUCUUUGAAUUUCUUUUGAAAAUUCUAAAUAGGUGGUUCUCUGUCAGGUAAUCCUGUCAGGGAACUAGGAAUCUGAAUGUUAAAAUACUCACCAGGGGAGUCUGAGGCACAGCCCCAUUGGGGCACACCCUGGGCACAUCCCGCUAUAUUAAAUAUAGUAGCCAAUCUCAUGGGCACUUUGUUAUUAUACCUCAGAGUGCACUGAGGGGCUCGAUCUCUUACAAAACCGUGACACUGCACUGAUCAGAGGAGGCUGUUGGAGGAUGCUAUUCACCACAUCACACAGGGGCUCUUUUAUGAAGCCCUCUGGGGGAGUUUCUCCCAGCCUCAGUGCUAGGAAAAGCCAAGCUUCUCUUCAACAUCUUCUAUUUGAUCUGAUAGAUAUGACUUAUGACUUGGUACAUUUCUGUUUUUCCUUGGUAACCAGAGAGCUCCAAACCAAAUCUGUAUCCCAUUAUAAGAACUGUGCAAGAUCUUUAUAUUAUGCUUUUUUUUUUUUUUGAGAUGGAGUCUUGCUCUGUUGCCCAGGCUGGAGUGCAGUGGCAUGAUCCUGGCUCACUGCAACCUCCAUUUCCCGGGUUCAAGCAAUUCUCCUGCCUCAGCCUCCCAAGUAGCUGGGUUUACAGGCACCCACCACCAUGCCUGGCUAAUUUUUGUAUUUUUAGUAGAGAUGGGGUUUCACCAUCUUGGCCAGGCUGGUCUCAAACUCCUGACCACAGGUGAUCCACCUUCCUCGGCCUCCCAAAGUGCUGGGAUUACAGGCAUGAUAUAUUAUGCAUUUCUAGAUAUUAACUUUCCCCAGAUUUUUUUAAGAGAUGGAGUCUCACUCUAUUAGCCAUGCUGGAGUGCAGUGGCACAAUUACUGUUCGCGGUAGCCUUGACCUCCCAGGCUCAAGCAAUCCUCCCACCUCAGCCUCCCCCAUAGCUGGGACUACAGGUGCAUGCCACCACGCCUGGCUAAUUUUGUUUAUUUUUUGUAGAGACAGGACCCUGCUAUCUUGCCCAGGCUGGUUUUGAACUCCUGGGCUCAAGAGAUCCUCCCACCUUGACCUCCCAAAGUGCUGGGAUUACAAGCUUGGGCCACCGCACCUGGCCUGAGUUUAUCUUAUUAUAUCAUCUUAAUUGCUCCUUUGCCCGAAUUUUUUUUACCUGAAUGUCAAGAAACCAAAAACUUAUAACAAUGUGUGUCUUUUUGAAAGCCAUUUUACAUACUUUUGGGGAACAAAAUAGGCAUAAAUACACAUUAAAAUAAUUUUACAUUUUACCUUGUGAGAUUUAAAUAAUAUAAAACUUAGGUGAGUUAAGACCCUUACUUCAAAAUCGACCUAUUUGAAGAUCCAUAUAUGAUAACACCAGAUCUAUUGUUGAUUUUUAACUGGAAGAAAAUACUUCAAACAUGAACUAUUCAAAACAUAUCAGUGAAAAUUAUAUUAAUGCUAGAAAACAGGUUACUAGCUGUAGCCAUUCAGGUACAGAAAAAAUAAGAUUGCGUUUUAAAAUACAAUACUAUUUAUUUUGAAAUCACUAUUAUUGAGUUCAAAAAUGGUGCAAAAACCAUUACAUUUAUUUAAGAUCACCUGUAUUUCGUUUAGUGGCUUUAAAAGCAAAAUUUAUUUUCAAAAACUUUCACAGAAUUUCUUAAAGGCAAUUUUAACUUCUUAUGGUUCCUGUUUUUUUCUUAAAACAACAGAAAAGCACGCUAAUGCUUAAUUCACUGUUGCUCCAAUUCUUUCUCCAAGAAUAGGAUGGCCAACCAAUUCAUCCCAGUUUGCCCAGGACUGUCCAGGUUUUAAAACUGAAGUCCAGUGUCUUAGGAACCCCCUCAGUCCUGGGCAAACCAGGACAGCUGGUCACCCUAGCAAUGGGGAGGCCUCCUUUUGCCAAUGUAUGGAAGGAAGAGCCUAUUAACAGCAAGUCUUUCUCAUACCCUUUAAAUUUCAAAGGCAGUCAUAUAUCUGAAAGGUAUUCCUAAGUGUUAGGAAACAAUAAAAUUCUGAAUUUAGUUCACUUAAUAUCAGCCUGGAUUUCAUAAUGGAUUAGAAAGACUCUUCACACAUCAAUGUUCUUAUUCUCUUCUAAAGAAUUCCAGGAAAAGAGAUUCCAUAAAGCUAUCUUUCAAAUCCAUUCUGCCAUUCAUAAACUUUUUAAAAUAUUAAGUUUAAUCUACAAUUAUAUCAUUUUCCUUCUCAGCACCAAACUGAAUAAAGAAAUCUUAAAGAUAUGCUAUCCACAGGAAA